rnacentral:rRNA from 1 species
GGCUGGCGCGGGAAUUCGAUUCCUUACACAUGCAAGCCGAACGGCAGCUCGGACUUCGGUCUGGUGGCGAGUGGCGAACGGGUGAGUAAUGUAUCGGAACGUGCCCAGUAGCGGGGGAUAACUACGCGAAAGCGUAGCUAAUACCGCAUACGCCCUACGGGGGAAAGCAGGGGAUCGCAAGACCUUGCACUAUUGGAGCGGCCGAUAUCGGAUUAGCUAGUUGGUGGGGUAACGGCUCACCAAGGCGACGAUCCGUAGCUGGUUUGAGAGGACGACCAGCCACACUGGGACUGAGACACGGCCCAGACUCCUACGGGAGGCAGCAGUGGGGAAUUUUGGACAAUGGGGGAAACCCUGAUCCAGCCAUCCCGCGUGUGCGAUGAAGGCCUUCGGGUUGUAAAGCACUUUUGGCAGGAAAGAAACGUCAUGGGUUAAUACCCCGUGAAACUGACGGUACCUGCAGAAUAAGCACCGGCUAACUACGUGCCAGCAGCCGCGGUAAUACGUAGGGUGCAAGCGUUAAUCGGAAUUACUGGGCGUAAAGCGUGCGCAGGCGGUUCGGAAAGAAAGAUGUGAAAUCCCAGAGCUUAACUUUGGAACUGCAUUUUUAACUACCGGGCUAGAGUGUGUCAGAGGGAGGUGGAAUUCCGCGUGUAGCAGUGAAAUGCGUAGAUAUGCGGAGGAACACCGAUGGCGAAGGCAGCCUCCUGGGAAUACACUGACGCUCAUGCACGAAAGCGUGGGG